CGACACUAGAUGAUUUCAUUCCCCCUCAUCUGCAGAGGCGGCCCCACCACAGCCAGCCAGCCAGUGCUUGUGGCUCCCUCUCCCCUGCUAGCCAGACGCCACCACCCUCACCACCGCCUCCGCUGGUCCCUCCUAUACCGGAGGACCUCCACAGAGGCUUGGAGCCUGACCUCCCGGGAGCUGUCUCAAGUACCGGCAGUCCUUUACUAAAUGAAGUUUCUUCUUCCCACAUUGACACUGAUUCCCAAGUCUUCCCUCCAACAAGCAAACCUUCGUCUGCCUACCCUUCCACCA
rnacentral:lncRNA from 1 species